AUGGGAGUGGCUACUUGGCAUGGAGAUUGAAGCACCUGCAAAAGGAGGAUGCAGAGGGAAGAAUAAAGUGCCCUCGUAGAUCACUAACAGCUAAGGAUGCUGGCUGUACCAGUGAAAUACAAAGAUGAGAAGAAGUUCAUUUUUUCAUUGACUUUCAAUGACUUCUUGGAAGGAGUUGUCAAGAAGUGUAUCCUGCCUACCAUGGACUUAAAAGUCUACAAUGAAUCUGAGACAGAAGUAGAUGAAGAAGUGUUCCAGUUUCAUCUUUAGA